GGCAAGAUAGCUCAGUUGGUAGAGCAGAGGACUGAAAAUCCUUGUGUCCCCGGUUCGAUUCCGGGUCUUGCCACCA
rnacentral:tRNA from 5 species